rnacentral:rRNA from 1 species
UACGGAGGGUGCAAGCGUUAUCCGGAUUUACUGGGUUUAAAGGGUGCGUAGGUGGGUAGGUAAGUCAGUGGUGAAAUCUUCAGGCUUAACUUGGAAACUGCCAUUGAUACUAUUUAUCUUGAAUACUUUGGAGGUAAGCGGAAUAUGUCAUGUAGCGGUGAAAUGCUUAGAUAUGACAUAGAACACCAAUUGCGAAGGCAGCUUACUACACAGUAAUUGACACUGAGGCACGAAAGCGUGGGGAUCAAACAGG